rnacentral:rRNA from 1 species
UGGGGAAUAUUGGACAAUGGACCAAGAGUCUGAUCCAGCAAUUCUGUGUGCACGAUGAAGUUUUUCGGAAUGUAAAGUGCUUUCAGUUGGGAAGAAAAAAAUGACGGUACCAACAGAAGAAGUGACGGCUAAAUACGUGCCAGCAGCCGCGGUAAUACGUAUGUCACAAGCGUUAUCCGGAUUUAUUGGGCGUAAAGCGCGUCUAGGUGGUUAUGUAAGUCUGAUGUGAAAAUGCAGGGCUCAACUCUGUAUUGCGUUGGAAACUGUAUAACUAGAGUACUGGAGAGGUAAGCGGAACUACAAGUGUAGAGGUGAAAUUCGUAGAUAUUUGUAGGAAUGCCGAUGGGGAAGCCAGCUUACUGGACAGAUACUGACGCUGAAGCGCGAAAGCGUGGGUAGCAAACAGGAUUAGAUACCCUGGUAGUCCACGCCGUAAACGAUGAUUACUAGGUGUUGGGGGUCGAACCUCAGCGCCCAAGCAAACGCGAUAAGUAAUCCGCCUGGGGAGUACGUACGCAAGUAUG